ACGCGUCUUUUUGUCGUUGCCGUCACCGCGAACCGUCGGUCCCACACUUUUCCGUCCGCGUCGGACGGGGUCGGGGUAGGGAAAAAUCGUCGUCCCUUUAAACGGAGGCGUUUCGGGGGCUCUGUCGGACCUUCUCCUCUGGAACCCUCGCACGGCGUACGAGUGCGGGCGCGGAAAGAGAGAGAUCGGAGUACAUCCCUACCGUCGCCUCCGGCCCUCCCCGUCCGCGCCGACGGCGUCUUUUUUUUUUUUCGACCGCGAACCUGCAGAGACUGAAACACGCACGAAAUGACCAAACG
rnacentral:misc_RNA from 1 species